GACGAACGCUGGCGGCGUGCUUAACACAUGCAAGUCGAACGGUGAACGAGGGAGCUUGCUCCCUCCGGAUCAGUGGCGAACGGGUGAGUAACACGUGAGCAAUCUGCCCCGAACUCUGGGAUAAGCGUUGGAAACGACGUCUAAUACCGGAUACGACGCGGGAGGGCAUCCUCUCCGCGUGGAAAGAACUUCGGUUCGGGAUGAGCUCGCGGCCUAUCAGCUUGUUGGUGAGGUAACGGCUCACCAAGGCGACGACGGGUAGCCGGCCUGAGAGGGUGACCGGCCACACUGGGACUGAGACACGGCCCAGACUCCUACGGGGGGCAGCGGUGGGGAAUAUUGCACAAUGGGCGCAAGCCUGAUGCAGCAACGCCGCGUGAGGGACGACGGCCUUCGGGUUGUAAACCUCUUUUAGCAGGGAAGAAGCGACAGUGACGGUACCUGCAGAAAAAGCACCGGCUAACUACGUG
rnacentral:rRNA from 1 species